rnacentral:rRNA from 1 species
UACGGGGGGGGCGAGCGUUGUCCGGAAUUAUUGGGCGUAAAGAGCUUGUAGGCGGUCUGUCGCGUCUGCUGUGAAAAUCCGGGGCUCAACCCCGGACUUGCAGUGGGUACGGGCAGACUAGAGUGUGGUAGGGGAGACUGGAAUUCCUGGUGUAGCGGUGAAAUGCGCAGAUAUCAGGAGGAACACCGAUGGCGAAGGCAGGUCUCUGGGCCACUACUGACGCUGAGAAGCGAAAGCAUGGGGAGCGAACAGG